UAACACGUAUGGGGCGAGCGUUGUUCGGAAUUAUUGGGCGUAAAGGGCGUGUAGGCGGUCUUAAAAGCUUGGUGUGAAAUAUCUCGGCUUAACCGAGAGGGUGCGCUGAGAACUGGAAGACUAGAGUUUUGGGGAGGAAGCUGGAAUUCCUGGUGUAGGGGUGAAAUCUGUAGAUAUCAGGAAGAACACCAAUGGCGAAGGCAAGCUUCUAUCCAAAGACUGACGCUGAGGCGCGAAAGCGUGGGGAGCGAACAGGAUUAGAUACCCUGGUAGUCCACGCUGUAAACGAUGUGCACUGGGCGUAGGUAGCGUUGGGCUAUCUGUGCCGUAGCUAACGCGUUAAGUGCACCGCCUGGGGAGUAUGCUCGCAAGGGUG
rnacentral:rRNA from 1 species